AAAAGUAACGAUAUGGUAUCGUAUCGUAUCGAAAUUCGUGUCCCUACACAUGAAGAAGAUUUUGUGUAUUAAAACAGAACAGGAUUUUUUAGCAAUAACGCUAUGGUGGUGUACGAUAACAAAAUGCGUAUAAGAAGUUUUGAUGCGAGAUAUCCGGAUGCAAUCACGACUCGCAUAUAUGGGGUUUGAGUAAGCUGCGAUUUUAUAUGGAACGGCAAUAUCGGGAAGAUGAAAGAAACACCUGGUUGUUAGGCGAUGCGAGGUAUCCUUUGGAGCCCUGGCUAAUGACUCCAUAUCGGUCUGUAAGUGAAGGCACCCAACAAAGCAAUUACAACAUGCGCCACUCCAGAACUGGAAAUAUAGUGGAGCGCACUGUCGGAGUCUUGAAAAACCGUUUCCGAUGCUUGUUGGGUGCACGGGAACUGCAUUACUCACCGAAAAAAGUCAGACAAAUUAUAAACGUUGCUUGUGCACUUCACAACAUUUGCAUUCACUACAGAGUGGAAGAUUUGAAUGCAAACGAAUUGGACUUUGAAUUCCGCCAGGAGGCAGAAGAAGAACAAAGCAGUGAUUCAAAUUAUGCUACCGUGGGUAAUCGUAUUGGAGACAAAAUACUUUCUUCUUUUUUAAAAUUUACUAAACAUGGGUAUAAUAAAAAAGUAAAAAAA